rnacentral:rRNA from 1 species
CAGUCGCCGCGGUAAUACGAGGGGGGCAAGCGUUGUUCGGAAUUAUUGGGCGUAAAGGGUGCGUAGGCGGUUUGGCAAGUUUGGUGUGAAAGCCCCGGGCUCAACCUGGGAACUGCAUCCAAAACUGGCAAGCUAGAGUACGGUAGAGGGUGGUGGAAUUUCCUGUGUAGCGGUGAAAUGCGUAGAUAUAGGAAGGAACACCAGUGGCGAAGGCGACCACCUGGACUGAUACUGACACUGAGGUGCGAAAGCGUGGGGAGCAAACAGGAUUAGAUACCCGCGUAGUCCCUGUCUCUUAUAC